UACGAAGGGGGCUAGCGUUGUUCGGAAUUACUGGGCGUAAAGGGCGCGUAGGCGGUCCUGAUCGUCGGAUGUGAAAGGCCUGGGCUCAACCUGGGAAUGGCAUCCGAUACGGCGGGACUGGAGUGUGGGAGAGGUUGGUGGAAUUCCCAGUGUAGAGGUGAAAUUCGUAGAUAUUGGGAAGAACACCGGUGGCGAAGGCGGCCAACUGGACCACAACUGACGCUGAGGCGCGAAAGCGUGGGGAGCAAACAGGG
rnacentral:rRNA from 1 species